rnacentral:rRNA from 1 species
UUCGAUCAUGGCUCAGAUUGAACGCUGGCGGGAUGCUUUACACAUGCAAGUCGAACGGCAGCGCACGGACUUCGGUCUGGUGGCGCGAUGGUUAACGGGUGAGUAAUGACGUGAAUCGUGCUCACAGGGGAUAACUACGCGAAAGCGUAGCUAAUACCGCAUACUGCCCUUCGGGAAAGCGGGGACCUCGGCCCUCGCACCGUCAGAGCGGCUGAUAUCGGAUUAGCUUAGUUGGUGGGGUAAUCGGCUCACCAAGCGCGACGAUCCGUAUGCCGCCUGAGGACGACCAGCCACACUGACCGAGAUGUCGCCUGGUGGCUCCGCCGUGAGGCAGUGGGGAAUUUUGACAAUGGGGAAACCCUGAUCUGCGUCAUCCCGCGUGCGAUGAAGGCCUUCGUCAGGUGCAUCUUUUGGCAGGAAAGAAACGCGGCAUGUGAUAAUACCCGCGCAACUGACGGUACUGCAGAAUAAGCACCGGCUAACUACAUGCGCCAGCAGCCGUAAUAAUGGUAAGCGCAAGCGUUAAUCGGAAUUACUGGGCGUAAGCGUGCGCAGGUGUCUGGAAGAGGAUGCAGUCCCGUAGAGCUUAACUUUGGAACUGCAUUUUUAAUCACCGAGCUAGAGUGGCAUGAGGGAGCGUGAAAUCUGCGUGUAGCGCAGUGAACGCGGUGUGAGCGCGGAGGAACACCGAUGGCGAAGGCAGCCUCCUGGGAUGCAGCCAUCUACGCUCGCGCACGAGCGUGGGGAGUAAACAGGAUUAGAUACCCUGGUAGUCCACGCCUCUAAACGAUGGGCUAACUAGCUGUUGGGGCUUUCGGGCCUUGCAGCGCAGCUAACGCGCAGGGCAAGACCGCCUGGGGAGUACGGUCAAAGAUUAAAACUCAAAGCAUCUGAUGGGGACCGUGCACAAGCGGAAGACAUGUGGAUUUAAUUGAUGCAACGCGAAAACCUACCUACCCUUUGGACAUGAACUGCAGAACCUUAAAAGAGAUUGGAGCGCCUUAAGAGAACCGGAACACAGGUGCUGCGAAGGCUGCCGCCUGUGUGUCAGGAGAUGUUGCUAUCCCAACGAGCGGGCCAACCCUGUCAUUAGUUGCUACGAAAGGGCACUCUAUCGAGACUGCUGCGGACAAAUCAGACAUGGGAUGAUGUCAAGUCCUCAUGGCCCUUAUGGGUGGGCUUCACACGUCAUACAAUGGUCGGGACAGAGGGUCGCCAACCUGGCGAGGGGGAGUCAUAAUCCCAUGAAGAAACCCAUCAGCAGUCCGGAUCGCAGUCUGCAACCUGACUGCGUGAAGCUGAAAUCGCGAAUCGUGGAUCAGUGAUGUCGCGGUGAAUACGUUCCCGGUCUGCAGACACACCGCCCGUCACACCAUGGGAGUGUCACCAGAAGAGCAGCCUAACCGUAGAGGGAUUACUACGGUAGGAUUCAGAUUUUCAGUAAGUCGUAACAAGGUAA